ACCUGACUGCUAUCGGAUUGAUACUAAGCCAUGCGAGUCAUUGUAGCAAUACAAGGCAUACGGCUCAGUAACGCGUAGUCAACCUAACCUAUGGACGGGAAUAACCUCGGGAAACUGAGAAUAAUGCCCGAUAGAACACUAUACCUGGAAUGGUUUGUGUUCCAAAUGAUUUAUCGCCAUAGGAUGGGACUGCGGCCUAUCAGUUUGUUGGUGAGGUAAUGGCCCACCAAGACUAUUACAGGUACGGGCUCUGAGAGGAGUAGCCCGGAGAUGGGUACUGAGACACGGACCCAGGCCCUAUGGGGCGCAGCAGGCGAGAAAACUUUGCAAUGUGCGAAAGCACGACAAGGUUAAUCCGAGUGAUUUGUGCUAAACGAAUCUUUUGUUAGUCCUAGAAACACUAACGAAUAAGGGGUGGGCAAGUUCUGGUGUCAGCCGCCGCGGUAAAACCAGCCCCUCAAGUGGUCAGGAUGAUUAUUGGGCCUAAAGCAUCCGUAGCCGGCUCUGUAAGUUUUCGGUUAAAUCUGUACGCUUAACGUACAGGCUGCCGGGAAUACUGCAAAGCUAGGGAGUGGGAGAGGUAGACGGUACUCGGUAGGAAGUGGUAAAAUGCUUUGAUCUAUCGAUGACCACCUGUGGCGAAGGCGGUCUACCAGAACACGUCCGACGGUGAGGGAUGAAAGCUGGGGGAGCAAACCGGAUUAGAUACCCGGGUAGUCCCAGCUGUAAACUAUGCAAACUCAGUGAUGCAUUGGCUUGUGGCCAAUGCAGUGCUGCAGGGAAGCCGUUAAGUUUGCCGCCUGGGAAGUACGUACGCAAGUAUGAAACUUAAAGGAAUUGGCGGGGGAGCACCACAAGGGGUGAAGCCUGCGGUUC
rnacentral:rRNA from 1 species